rnacentral:rRNA from 1 species
GCUCACGGCCACACCCGCCUGGUUCACGCCGGAUCUCGGAAGCUAAGAUAGGUUGGGCCUGGUUAGUACUUGGAUGGGAGACCGCCUAGGAAUACCAGGUGCUGUAAGCC